CUUCUCACUUACGCAGCACAUAUACUAAAAUUGGAACAAUACAGAAAAGAUUAGCAUGGCCCCUACACAAGGAUGACAUGCAAAUUCCUGAAGCAUUCCAUAUUAAA
ensembl:snRNA U6 U6 spliceosomal RNA